rnacentral:rRNA from 1 species
CAGCCGCCGCGGUAAUACGAAGGGGGCUAGCGUUGCUCGGAAUGACUGGGCGUAAAGGGCGCGUAGGCGGAUGGCACAGUCAGAUGUGAAAUUCCCGGGCUUAACCUGGGGGCUGCAUUUGAUACGUGUUGUCUAGAGUGAGGAAGAGGGUCGUGGAAUUCCCAGUGUAGAGGUGAAAUUCGUAGAUAUUGGGAAGAACACCGGUGGCGAAGGCGGCGACCUGGUCCUUUACUGACGCUGAGGCGCGAAAGCGUGGGGAGCAAACAGGAUUAGAUACCCCAGUAGUCCCUGUCUCUUAUAC